AGAAUUCUAAAAUACAAGUAGGAAUUUUUCUCAUACUCUAAUGUUACAGAGAGGGCCACAAAAUCACAAUAAAUGUCUAACCCACAGUCUCAAACCUGGUUAGUGACCAUGCUGAUGCUCUCUGCAGGUCUGGUUUCAGAGAAGGGAUUCCUUUUGCUGCAUGUAAUUUGGAAAUCCAGGAAAUGCACAGGGCUAAGAAACAGCAGGUGCUCAGACACCAAAGACCAACACAGUUACCUAAGCUAGUUUGUUGCAAAAGUGGAGGGUGGGGUGAGGGGGGUCCAAAUAUGAAAGAAAAGCACAUGGGGGAAAACCAAGUGUUCAGUUUAAAAAUCACAUAGGCCCAGCAUCAUCUUGAAGAGACAAAACACUAAUGAAAGGGAUUCUUUGUUUAAAUGGGGACGAAAAGCAAUCCAAGAACUAAUGGGAACCAUUUAUAAUUUGGGGACAAAGGGAUUAUUUAGAGAUGACAUGGAAACUUCUUGUAGAUGGGAUGCAACUCAUUGUCUCAUUCUACCAAGACAGUUUUUUAGGGAGGUUCCUGUCACCCUAAAAUUAGGCAGAUUGGAAUUAUUAAAACAUAAAAAUGCAAAAACUCUUGGGUGUAAUUGACAAAAGGCAGUUUGUAUAUGUUUUAAAAUGAAAUGGGAACAAACCACUGCAAUGGAAGCUGUAGACAUUCUUAACUGUGAGCUCACUCUAUGAGAACAGCUCCAGGGGAAACCAUUGCCUGAUGAGAAUCUGCCAGUAGAGUAUGCAUAAAGGGCAGACUCACAAAAUAGGUAAGCAAGAGGUUGCUGAGGGCAAGGCAACAAUUUCUGAUUGAAAAAUGCAUUUUUGGUGUAUUGAAAGGAUAGAAGGGUAGUUUCUCACCAUGACAAUUUGGAUGUCUCUCAGACAUCUCAAAUUCAACAUUUGAAUUCCAAAUUCUCAUUUUUUCCUCCCUUGUCCUGUUUCUUCUAUCAUCAGUGAAAGGAAACUCUACCUUCUAGCUUCUCAGGUCAAAAAUCUUGGUAUUGUCUUUGACUUCUCUUUUGAGAAAUUUUGAAAAUUUGCAUAGUUUUUCUCAAAACUCUCACCCAUUCUAUCAAAUCCUGGUAUUUUCACCUUCAAAAUAUAUCCAGAGUUUAUCUCUCCUCACCACUUUCUCCAAGACCACCUUGUUCCAAGUCAGCAACAUACAUAUACUUUAAGAGGCUCAAGCAGCACUCAUAGAAGUUGUGGGCUUGACCUCAAACAGUAAGUCAUAUUUUAAGCAGCUGCUUGGGUCUGGAGUACCAAAGGAUGGCCACAAUGGUCUCAGGAAAUCUUACAAGGUGAGAUUCAUUACUUUAGCCUUUGACAUCCAUCCAUCCCAUUUGAAAUAUCGAAUGGAAUGUUUCAACAAGAUCCCUGCAUUAAAGACUGAUUGAUGGCCUUUGCCCACUCCCAUCAAGUCUAGACAGUGAGUGGUUUGAUAGCCCUUUGGAGGGCAGUGAAGGUUCCUGGUUCAUACUUGAGAAUCCUGACAAUGAGAUAGCAGGGAACCAAGGCAGCAGUAUGGAUGCCCCUGGUGUGACCCUUCAGAAUAAAUCUGGGAUAAAGUAGUCAGAGGAAAACAAAUACAUGGUGUCAAGGCAGAACAGCGUUUAAGAAUUAGGUAGUGGUCACGGGGAUCAGGACCAAGGAAGUACCCAGCAGGCCUGUCGGUAAUCACUGGCUCCAUGAAAUCCUGAUCCACUGCGAUCUGCUGUGUCCAGUGGACUAUGGAGGUCCUCAAGACACCAUCUUUUGAAGGAUACAGAACCUUACCAUCACUCCCCACAUCCCCAGGUCCUCAGGGGAAAGCUGGAGGAGCCCAAAUCUUUCCAGAACCUUGAAAACCACCAUCGUGAAUAGGUGAGUGAGGAGGGUGGAUGAAGGAGUGAAUUGGCUGUGUGAUGACAAUUCCUUUUUGAAGGAAGAACGUGCAAAGUAGCAAAAAUCGAGACACAAAAAGGAGCUAACCAUUUCCUAAUUUCCUAAGCUGCGUAACCCAAAGAGGAAGAGGUCAGAACUGUAGUGAUUUCCACUGUUCUGCGCCUGGAAGACCCAUCGAGAUUCCGACGCGGAUCGGGGCAGCGUGAGCUCUUCUCGCAUCCUGCCAGCAGGCGGCACUGUGGGAGCCAAGCUCACGGUGCAGCUAAGCGCGGGAGAGGCAGUGUUCCCAGGAAGCCCUGCGUGUCUCCACGGCAACGGCGCCAGGGGCGGGUCCAGGGGGGCAGGCCCCGCCCACAACGCGGCCUCCGCUUUCAGAACUUCUCUGCUGCGGUUUGAGUGACUCAGAGCUCCCAGACUCCACACCGGUCUUGGACCCUCGAUGGACCCUCGCAGGAGGGCUCAGGCAAUGCAGAGUCUUCAGGAGGCAGAAAUUUAUUUAUUACAAUUCUGGAGGCUGGGAAGUCGAAGACCAAGAUGCCUGGUGCGAGAGCCCAUCCGUGUGUGACUGACCAUUGACCCUGAG